rnacentral:lncRNA from 1 species
GUCGCGGUUCCGGUGUUCAGGAUGCCAGGGAUGAUGGGAAGCCUGUUCUUGUUUAUCGGUUUGUACGGAACUUCACCCGCGGUAGAGUACGGCCUGAGAAUUUUGUUCCAGCACCGGUGUGAGGAAAACAUCUGAGCCCAUGAAUUGCCAGACCCUGGAUACCUGAGACACAUCCACUUGCUUCUCAGGUUUGGAGUGCAUAAUGAGGAGAAAUAAAAACAGAAAGAUCUCCAGAAAGAAGCCAUGGUAAGAUUCAAGGUUUCACAGUCCAAGCUAAUGCCUGUGGACACUUGACCAAGUGAUCUGAGAAAAUUGGAUUUCUGGCAAAACAAGUGUACCUAGACUCAGGCAAGGGUGGAGAACAGAGGGCGACUAGAUUAAAUGGAAAGAAUGCCCAGGCAUCCCAUUGCCUCCCUUUGACGUUCCAGAACUUCAUCAAGACAGUGAUGAGCUACAUGUACACCUGGAGGAGAGUUCAGGAUCAAGCUCAGAAGCGCACAGCUGCCAGCAAGCAGUCUACUACUGAACUGCACCAUCUCUCCAGCCUGUGCUUACUCUUGAAUAGCCCCAAAGUAGUCAAUGGGCUAUUUGGUACUGGACAACCAAUUGGAGUGUUGUUUGCGGGGGAGGACCACCUCUCCAGGUAGAAUCUAAACAUCAGAAAAUCAACAACCCAGUUAAAAUAAUCUAGAGCACUAACCAGAGCGUUCUCAGAAGAAGCACUACAAACGGCUAAGAAACACGAGACUGCUCAACAUCCUUUGCCAUCAGGGAAACACAGAAGCUCACUUUUCAGUUUUCAUCUUUCUGGAGUCAGAAUGGUUAUCGUCAAGAAUGCCAGUGACAUGGAUGUAGAGGACGGAUUCCUUCAUUGUCUAAGUCUCUGGAAAUAGUGCAGAAGAGUAGUCAGGGACUAAAAGAUGGAAGACAGAAAGGGCUGCAAAGUUCCAUCCUAGAGACUCAAUACAGCCAUUGCAAUGAUGAACUCACAAAAACUGCAUUUACCUGAACUUAGCCUGCUCAAGACAUUGAAAGUGUUUCAAAGUAGCUUUUCCUGUUGUGAAUGUACCUCUCAGCUAGUCUGGUUUCUGGUUCAGAGCUCUUAGGCACAGAGUUGUCUUGAACAUUUGCUUACAGGCACUUGUGUAGAUAUCAGCUGCUUUUUUUUGUUAAAUCUCUGAAAUAAAUGCCUAGGCGUUCAAUGGCAAUGUUAUAUCAGUAUGUAUUUAGCUUAGUUUUAAAAUAAGAAACUGUCAAAUACUUUUGUAGAAUUACUGGACCAUUUUACACCCCUGCCAACAAAGUAAGAUUGAUCCAGCUCCCCACAUUCUCAUAAACAUUUGUUUUUGUUUCUUUAAGAAGACAAGUUAACCAUUCCAUUUAUUGAGAAUUUACUUACCAUUCAGUGCAUUGCUUAGAUAUGUAGUAUUCAGUUUUUAGUACACAUACAAGGUUGUGUAUCGAUUACUACUAAUUCCAGAACAUUUCCAUUACCAUAGAAAAAGAAACCCAAUAUUCAUUUUCAUCUCUCCUCUAUGGACUUACCUAAUCUAGAUAUACCAAAUAAAUGGAAUUUUUAUAAAAUAUGACCUUUUGUUUGGCUUCUUUCAUUUAGAAUAGAAUUUCAAGGUUUCUCCAUGUUCUACCAGCCUUCAAAUUAAUUUCAGUUGUUGUGCUUUCAGGUUUCAGAAUUUCUUUUCAUUUUCUGUUUAUAAUUUCAAAAUUAUUGUUUAAUAUCUAUUUAAUAAAACAGGUGUUUUGAAAUAUAU